rnacentral:rRNA from 1 species
UACAGGGGGGGCAAGCGUUGUUCGGAAUUAUUGGGCGUAAAGCGCGUGUAGGCGGCUUUGCAAGUCGGGUGUGAAAGCCCUCAGCUUAACUGAGGAAGUGCGCCCGAAACUGCAGAGCUUGAGUACCGGAGAGGGUGGCGGAAUUCCCCAAGUAGAGGUGAAAUUCGUAGAUAUGGGGAGGAACACCGGUGGCGAAGGCGGCCACCUGGACGGAUACUGACGCUGAGACGCGAAAGCGUGGGUAGCAAACAGG